GGGCAGGGCUGGGCUGGGGAGAGGGCAGGGUAAGCGCCAGGCAUCCUGUUGGUUCUAUUCUCCUUUUUCCUGUCUCCCUAUCC
rnacentral:miRNA from 1 species